CCUACGUGUGGCAGCAGUGGGGGAUCUUGCACAAUGGGGGGAACCCUGAUGCAGCGACGCCGCGUGGGUGAAGGAGUGCUUCCGCAUGUAUAGGCCUAUCGGCAGGGAAGAAGCAAGACGGUACCAGACUAAGAAGCCCCGGCUAACGACGUGCAAGCAGUCGCGGUAAUCCGUAGGGGGCGAGCGUUAUCCGGAUUCACGGGGAGUAAAGGGAGGGUAGAAGGCCAUGCAAGCCAGGGGUGAAAGCCCGGGGCCCAACCCCGGGACUGCCCUUGGAACUGCCUGGCUGGAGUGCGGGAGGGGCAGGCGGAAUUCCUGGUGUAGCGGUGAAAUGCGUAGAUAUCAGGAGGAACACCAGCGGCGAAGGCGACCUGCUGGACCGCGACUGACGUUGAGGCUCGAAAGCGUGGGGAGCGAACAGGAUUAGAUACCCUUGUAGUC
rnacentral:rRNA from 1 species